UCUAUACUAUUAAUUGGGAAGCAUUGGAUAAUAAAUAACCUUAUCAAGGGUAAAGAAUUACAAAAAAUGCCAUUACAAAUUUUGUAUUCAAAGAGUAAUUAAAAGGUAUCGUGGAAGGAUAAAAUGGCACAUUUGCUGGUUAAUGAGACGCGGAUCUUGGGUUAUUGGGUCGGAUCUAUAUUUAUACUCCUUUGGUAAAACACGCGGAUCUUGGUACUUAGCAUUCGGAUCCGUUAUACUCGCGGAUCUCAUCUGAUUGGGCUUCGUGGAUCAUGGUAUUUCUGAUGUUCUCGAAUAUACUCUUUGAGAUCUCCUGAAGUUAAUGCCAUAAUCAAAUUAGAUUCAAUCACUCAAAAGAGAUUUCUAUAACAAACAAAUCCAAUACAAUCUGAUUAGUAAAUAAGGAAUUAUCUCUUCAAAUACGAAUUCAGUUAUUAGAUUUUACCAAACAUAACAAAAUCUAUAUAUUCAAAUACUAACAAACAAGCAUAUACCUUAACAAUCCUUAUUCUUAAAUAUAUUACUUUGAUAUGAUUCUCUAAACCCUAAAAAGGCUAGCCGACCUUGCUUAUUAUAAAUAUAGAAUAUCAAAUGCCAAUGAAGAUACACACUAACCUUUCUUACCGAAAACACUUCUGUUCUUGCUCCUUUAAAGAAAAUGGCUGUAAAUCUUGGUAUCGCCAAUCUUGACGACAUCAAACCCUUCAAAACAAGUUGGAAAAUCCAAGUUAAAAUUGUGCAUUUGUGGACUCAAUACACGCAAUACACUGGGGAAACAAUGGAAAUGAUUCUCGCUGAUAUAACUGUAAGUAUAUAUUUUAUUUUGACUAGAUCUUAUACUAAUUACAAUCUUAUAAUAAUCAUUAAGGUGAUCCAAUUAUUAACACAUGUGUAUUUAUUUUCUGUACAGGAUACUUUGAUUCAUGCUACUAUUAAAUGUAUUAAAUGACUGCAAACCAGGUGACUCCACUUCUUUUUCAAAACCUAUAUGACUAUGCUUUGCAAGAGUCAUUUAAUGUAAGAGGUAAUUAUUACUAUUAUUCUGUAAGAAUUGAUUGUUAUAGUUCUAUUUAUACUCUAAUAAUCUUCUUCCUUUUUUUUAUCUGCUUUUACUGGUAAAAGUUUAUUUCUAACAUGCAUUUGGUGUUACUGAAAUUAUUUUACAGAGAACAAAUGAUGUUGUUUAGAAUCGCGUAUCUAUAAUUUUCAUCAGAAUUUUUUUUCAAGAAUCUCAAACAUUCAAUUCAAAACACCUUAACUUUGUUUUCAAAAGUUACUGUAAUAUGAAGUUAACUUUUUCAUAUAAAUAAUCAGUAAGGAUAAUUAAGUAUUAUGAAAAAAUAGCAGAAGUUAAUGUAUUGCUCAUCUCUAAUUCUGUUAACUCAUUUUAACAGACAAUGACAACAAAAAAUAAAUUUUAUAACAAUUCUACUAAUUCUAAAUGUAUAACAGCAGCUAUCCAUUCGUAACAAUUAACAACUAAACAAAAGUAUGCAAUCCUUAUCAUCUCACUAACCUUUAACAUUGCUUUAAGCUGUCUGAAUACUGUCUGAAUAGUCUGAAUAGCUCCAAAGACGACAUCAAUAGAAGCCUCAUCCAUAAGAAUUAAACAUGGAGAAUAUGCUUGGCCUGUAUGCAUUUAACAUUUAAACUCUAAUUUAGUAAAAUCAUUUAAUAUACAAUGAAAAAAAAAAACGUAAUAUAUAACUUUGUCUCAAAUUCAAUAAGUAUAACAAUAGCUAAAUAUUCUUAUCAACUAAACAAAAGUCCUUAUCAUCUCACAAACCUUUAACACUGUUUCAUGAUUCUGAAUAGCUCAAAAGAUGACAUUGAAACUCCCUUCUUUAUAAGAUUUAAACUCUGACAUGAAUACUGGCAUGUAUACAUUGAACUUUCUAUCAUCAGGACCACAUAUUUAUAAACAACUAUGGGUUUCUCAUAAUCGCAACAUAAAACUUAUCUUCUUCAUAAACAUCUUCUUUUGGCAUCAUCAUGUUUGUAAUUAUGUGAAAUAUAUAUAAAAUUAUAUAUAUAUAUAGACAAAUUGUCAUUAUCAUGUAACAAAAUCUACUGUCAAAAUCUAUACACAAUCCAGCUUAUGAAUAUAUUGGAUUUAAUAUCCGAAUAUAUGUUUAUCUAUUUCUCCAAACACAUGGAGAUAAAAGACUAACAAUGAUUGUCACGAACAAACUAAAAUUAAACAAUCACGAUUUAGGUUUUCUUGACAAAACAAAAUUGAAAUCAAAAUUUAGAGGCUUCAAUUGCCAAUACUUACCCAUAUAAGAUCGGGUUCUUGACAAUCGCUACCCAAGAGUUCUGUUCAUUUAUAAAACUUGAAAGAUUGGAAAUUGAAUCAAAACAUUUAGAAAAAGUAAAAGACAAAAUCUGAAUCAAUAAUAAGCUUACCCCUUUGUAGAAUUCCGAUUUAACGAUGAACAGAUGAUAAACGGAGAUGUGGUAUCUUUAUUAUCAGACAAUUUUGCAUCAUAGGCUUAGAUCGAACAAGCGACUGAGAUUUUUAGGGUGUGUUUUAGAGAGGAAUAGACAAGAAAGUUCUAAAAACAUCGGCCCAAAAAAAAAU
rnacentral:lncRNA from 1 species